CGAAGAAGAUCUUAAGCCUCUGUGUAACAGCUUCAAGUUGCGAACGAAACUGGAGCACAUUCAGUCUCGUAAGUUAUAGUUCAAUGACAUUGUUGAAUAAUGUUUCUUGACUUUGUUCAAUUGUUAUUUAGAUCCAUACCAAGAGACGAACUCGUCUUGAGGUCGAGCGAAUGGGAAAGCUCGUCUACAUUCACUACAACAAGCGAUUGAAUGAACGACAAUUGCAACGCAAGUUAGAUUGUCAAGACGACUCCAUAGCAGCGGAAGAA
rnacentral:lncRNA from 1 species